GGGCCCGUAGCUCAGCAUGGUUAGAGCGGCAGUUGUCGGCCGAGGCUCAUAACCUGUAGGUCCUGGGUUCGAGUCCCAGCGGGCCCA
rnacentral:tRNA from 1 species